AGUCGUCAAAGCGACUUUAAAUAGAACAUUAAGCUUUGAGCGUUCCCCUUCUUAUAGGGGAGGUUGUU
rnacentral:ribozyme from 1 species